CAGCAGCCUGUCUAUAAGUGGAGCUGUCAGUGAAAUGGAGGUGGCCUGAAGAGGCUUUACUGAAGGUAUGAUAGCCAUCUUCAGCCUACAAGGAUCUGUCCUCACCGUUGUGUCUGUGGCAUCGCUCAGUGUUUUCUCCGCUUUCUGCCUGUGGUGCAGGAGGAAAACCAAAAUAAUACAUGAAGAGAAUCAAAUUUAUGACCCUCAAAUAUU